rnacentral:lncRNA from 1 species
AAAAAGAAAUGGAUUACAAAAACAGAACUCAGCCUCUGGAACCUGCCUCCCAAGUUUGAAUUGGCAAGGUACUUAGGUUCUCUCAGCCUUAGUUUCCCAAGCUGUAAAAUGAGGUAUCAGCUCAAAUGGUGGGAGUGAGGAUUAAGUGAGCCCACAUGUAUAAAGAACAUAGAAUGGUGCCUGGAAGAGCAUAGCAUCGUUAUUAUCUGAGGUUAAAGAGCAAGUUUUUCUAAGACAAAAAGUGAACAUCUCACUCUGCCAUGUUGCCAUGUUGCUGAUGUCCUUCAAGUGGAGAUUUAAUGAGAAACUUAAGGCAGCUCAAGAAAGCUGAUGGUGACCACUAAUAGUUUAUGAGAUUUGUUCAACUAGAACCCUG